UUUUCCAUUUACUACACUUUUUGUACUUUAUUGCGCAAAAUCCCUCUCAGAAGAAUCAUUCAUAAUGUAAAGAAGCAAAAAAUUCAGAGAUCUCAUGGCAAUAGUUACAAUGUCUAGGUAUUUCAAAAUGGUUAUUGACUUUAAAGAUCCACUAAAUUGAGAAAUGAGCAAUCCAGUCAUGUGAAUUGGCAAAAGGUAGAACAACAAAUGAUGGUACAGAAAAACUUACCCAUUCAAGGAGGUAUUGUGUUACAGGCUCAAGCUUUAAGUCGUUGCUCUUUCGACCACUUAUGAUUUCAAGAACAACCACACCAUAACUGUAGGUGUCCACCUUCUCAGACAGCUGCCCAAGAAUUGCAUACUCAGGUGAUGUGUAACCCC